UCAAGGCUUUGUGUUAGAUCCCCUCUUAUCGACAUUUGAGUUGGAGGCUGGCGAGAAAGACACUGGGAUUAUCAAUAUUCGAGCAACCUUUCCAAGUGUAGUGAAUAUAAACGUUACAGUAACGACUGGUAAUGAGCCAUUGCAAACAUACAUCAAAUCAUAUUCCAUUUCACACGUUCAAAGACCCGUUUGUUCCAAUAUCAAUUCAAAUUUCUCAGCAUGCCCAUCUAAAGAAAUUACAUUCAAUAAUUGUUCAAACUACUUUUGGACGGCAGAGUCAUUAGUGAUUUUUUCCGAUACGAAAGUGUCGACAAUACAUGCUUUAAACAGAGACGUGAACUUAUCGUACGACGAUGUUAUGGAAGCCAGAGACACAAUCA